UACGGAGGGUGCGAGCGUUGUUCGGAAUUACUGGGCGUAAAGGGCUCGUAGGUGGCCAACUAAGUCAGACGUGAAAUCCCUCGGCUUAACCGGGGAACUGCGUCUGAUACUGGAUGGCUUGAGAUUGGGAGAGGGAUGCGGAAUUCCAGGUGUAGCGGUGAAAUGCGUAGAUAUCUGGAGGAACACCGGUGGCGAAGGCGGCAUCCUGGACCAACACUGACGCUGAGGAGCGAAAGCCAGGGGAGCAAACGGG
rnacentral:rRNA from 1 species